GGAUUAGAUACCCUGGUAGUCCACGCUGUAAACGAUGAGUACUAGCUGUUGGAUCUGGUGUAAAAGAUUUAGUGGCGCAGCUAACGCGUUAAGUACUCCGCCUGGGGACUACGGCCGCAAGGUUAAAACUCAAAGGAAUUGACGGGGACCCGCACAAGCGGUGGAGCAUGUGGUUUAAUUCGAUGCAACGCGAAGAACCUUACCUGCCCUUGACAUCCAUAGAAGAUCCGAGAGAUUGGAUUGUGCCUUCGGGAACUAUGAGACAGGUGCUGCAUGGCUGUCGUCAGCUCGUGCCG
rnacentral:rRNA from 1 species